rnacentral:rRNA from 1 species
AACGCGAAGAACCUUACCAAGGUUUGACAUGGCCGGAAAAGCAUCAGAGAUGGUGUGUCCUUCGGGUCGGUCACAGGUGGUGCAUGGCUGUCGUCAGCUCGUGUCGUGAGAUGUUGGGUUAAGUCCCGCAACGAGCGCAACCCUCGUCCUAUGUUGCCAGCGGGUCAUGCCGGGGACUCAUGGGAGACUGCCGGGGUCAACUCGGAGGAAGGUGGGGAUGACGUCAAGUCAUCAUGCCCCUUAUGUCUUGGGCUGCAAACAUGCUACAAUGGCCGGUACAGAGGGCUGCGAACUCGCGAGGGUAAGCGAAUCCCGGAAAGCCGGUCUCAGUUCGGAUCGGGGUCUGCAACUCGGCCCCGUGAAGCUGGAGUCGCUAGUAAUCGCGGAUCAGCAACGCCGCGGUGAAUACGUUCCCGGGCCUUGUA